rnacentral:rRNA from 1 species
AACGAACGCUGGCGGCAUGCCUAACACAUGCAAGUCGAACGAGACCUUCGGGUCUAGUGGCGCACGGGUGCGUAACGCGUGGGAACCUGCCUUUAGGUUCGGAAUAACUCAGAGAAAUUUGAGCUAAUACCGGAUAAUGUCUUCGGACCAAAGAUUUAUCGCCUUUAGAUGGGCCCGCGUUGGAUUAGCUAGUUGGUGGGGUAAAGGCCUACCAAGGCGACGAUCCAUAGCUGGUCUGAGAGGAUGAUCAGCCACACUGGGACUGAGACACGGCCCAGACUCCUACGGAGGCAGCAGUGGGGAAUAUUGGACAAUAGGGCGAAAGCCUGAUCCAGCAAUGCCGCGUGCAGGAUGAAGGCCUU